CCUAGGGCGGCAGCAGUGGGGAAUAUUGGGCAAUGGGCGCAAGCCUGACCCAGCAACGCCGCGUGAAGGAAGAAGGCUUUCGGGUUGUAAACUUCUUUUCUCAGGGACGAAGCAAGUGACGGUACCUGAGGAAUAAGCCACGGCUAACUACUUGCCAGCAGCCGCGGUAAUACGUAGGGGGCAAGCGUUAUCCGGAUUUACUGGGGGUAAAGGGCGUGUGGGCGGGACUGCAAGUCAGAUGUGAAAACCAUGGGCUCAACCUAUGGCCUGCAUUUGAAACUGUAGUUCUUGAGUACUGGAGAGGCAGACGGAAUUCCUAGUGUAGCGGUGAAAUGCGUAGAUAUUAGGAGGAACACCAGUGGCGAAGGCGGUCUGCUGGACAGCAACUGACGCUGAGGCGCGAAAGCGUGGGGAGCAAACAGGAUUAGAUACCCGUGUAGUC
rnacentral:rRNA from 1 species